UAAAACGCUGCGAGAAAGUUGAGUAACACUUUCGAAACCUUAAGCGAGCUUUAGUUGGUGAGAGAAAGCAGGCAAGAACGUGUGAAAAUCCCUUUUGAGCGAUGCAUCGAAUUUGUGAAAGUAACGUGCAUUGGUAACACCCAUUAACGUGUUAGCGUAUCGCUUCUUCAAGGCCGUACGUGAGAGAGGCAGAAUUAGCAAUAAUUUUGCAAAAUAAGGUGGUACAGUGCCGUAAGCGCCCUUAGU
rnacentral:ncRNA from 1 species